rnacentral:rRNA from 1 species
UGAGGAAUAUUGGGCAAUGCCCGCAAGGGUGACCCAGCAACGCCGCGUGGAGGAUGAAUGUCGUAAGAUUGUAAACUCCUGUUAGAGGGGAAGAAUAGUACCGGUUGGACCGGUAUAUGACUGUACCCUCAGAGAAAGCCCCGGCUAACUACGUGCCAGCAGCCGCGGUAAUACGUAGGGGGCAAGCGUUGUCCGGAUUCACUGGGUGUGAAGGGAGCGCAGGCGGGCUUUCAAGUCAGUGGUGAAAUCUCACAGCUCAACUGUGAAAUUGCCGCUGAUACUGUAGGCCUUGAGUACGGAAAAGGGUGAUAGAAUUCAUGGUGUAGCGGUGAAAUGCGUAGAUAUCAUGAAGAAUACCAGUUGCGAAGGCAGUUACCUGGUCCGUUACUGACGCUCAUGCUCGAAAGUGUGGGGAGCAAAC